CCAGUGCUCCGUAUGCAUUAGCUCCUAGAAGUUCCACGGCCUCUCCAGUACGGUCCCCGUCUACACAGGAGGAGGCUGAGGCGCAGGGAGAAGACACACACGAGGCUCAGGAUACAGCAGGAACUUGCUUAUGGUCACAAUUAUGAACCCUGUAAGUGAAGAUUCGACCCACAGAGGCCAGCACCAGAACUGCCUAGGAAAUGGGGACUCAUCAAUUUUGAGGUUUUUAGAUCAAGCACAUACAUAGGGGCUAUUGAUGAGGAGAAUGAAUCAGACACAGAAGACUGGAAACGUGAUCAAUCAGGAAACUAUUAUGAAAGUCCACAGAGCAGAGAAGGUAGCAGCCUGAGCUAGGGCAGGGUCGGUGGGAGAUGAGGAGAAUGAAUUUGGAAAAUGUUUAGGUGGUGGAAUACCACCUAAAGGUGGGUUUAACCAUUUAUUGUGCUGCUCUCCAAAGCCCUGAAGGCAGGCCUGGGUCUUGGUUGCUACGCCAUCUCCCAUGCCUGGCUCAGUACCUAGCAUAGAGUAGAUGCUCAAGAACACUUGACAAAUGAAUGGGUGAAAACAGAACCUUCCACGUUGUAUUGUGAUAUCCCCUUCACCAGAUUACAAAAUCCACACAGACAGGUCUUAUUGCCUUGGGGUCCCUUUCCAAGAGCCUAAAACAGCACUUUACAUGAGGUUCAAUCCUCCAUGUAAACAUUUGUUGGACUGUACACUUAAGUUUUGUUCACCGUUACUGUGUACGUCUCAAUGUACGAUGUACAUCUCAAAUAGACAUAUAAAUAAGCAAGCAAGGAAAGCCUAUCAAGUGGGCCUAUCAGGUGCAGAUAAGUCCUGCUCUGUGGCCCUGGUUGCCACCCUGGGAAGCCUUCCCUGCAUCCUGUGAAGGAGCAGAGUUUACAGACACCCAGCAGCAAACACUGUUUUGAUCUCCUCACUAUGGAUUAGUCUUGUCCGCCCUUGAACUUUAUAUAGGUGGAAUCAGCACUCUGUGUCUGGCUCUUCUCACUCAUCAGCAAGCCUAUGAAAUCCAGCCAUCCACACUGACACUGCGCGUAUGAGUACUUCAUUCCGUUUCACUGCUGCCUGUGGUCCCUUGUGUGUAUGUACUGCAACUUGUCUAUCCAUUUUCCUGUGAGUGGCCAUUAUGAAUAAAGCUGGUACUAACAUCUUC